CUGCCCGGCUGCAAGCACGCUUUCCACCGGCUGUGCGUUGAUGAGUGGCUCCGGCGGCGGUUGAGCUGCCCGCUCUGCCGCACAUCGCCGUCCGCCACGCGCGCGUCGCCUGCGGCCACCACCGAUGACUGCUGA
rnacentral:rRNA from 1 species